UACGUAGGGGGCGAGCGUUGUCCGGAAUUAUUGGGCGUAAAGAGCGUGUAGGCGGUUCGGUAAGUCUGUCGUGAAAACCUGGGGCUCAACCCUCGGAUGCCGGUGGAUACUGUCGGGCUCGAGUCCGGAAGAGGAGUGUGGAAUUCCUGGUGUAGCGGUGAAAUGCGCAGAUAUCAGGAGGAACACCAAUGGCGAAGGCAGCUCUCUGGGACGGUGACUGACGCUGAGACGCGAAAGCGUGGGGAGCAAACAGG
rnacentral:rRNA from 1 species